AGUGUGAGGGGAACACUCUCAGGAUGCACAGGUUUGGGUGCCUAACCAUGGGACUAGUUCACAGAAAUUGCCUCAAAUUUGCAUGACUUUGUAGGGGGUUGUGCUCUUGGAGAAAGGGGCUGGAGGUUUCUGCUGGGGGUGUAAGGAGUGAAGCAUUUCCGUGUAGACCUCCACCUGGUGUGCAAACUCCUCGGGAUCACAGUCCACAUUCAUGUAUCUUUGCAUCCCACCUCUGCAAAAGCAGUCUAGCCUGUGCCCAGGCCUGAGGCUCCUGUGGCUGCAACUGUAGUACAUUGCCACCAGGUGGGUUCUGGAGCCCAACAGCGUUACCUACAGAGAGUGAAAUAGCUUGCUGUUUAAAGAUUUUUUGGAAGUCUCGCUCCUGCACCUUCCUGCUCCAUGACUUUCAUUAAGUAUAGGACACUGAGCCCGGAAGUGGGUGUGGUGAAUUGCUUGGUGAUCCUGGUACCCUCUCCCCGCCCCCGCCUUCUGAAACCUCUCCAAGUUGGUCGUGAGAACAAAAACUUCUAAGUAUAGAUGAGGAAGCUGAGGCGCAAAGCCAGUCUCAACACCAUACAGCAGACUGGAAACCAGUAUGUGGUCCUGCUGUCCAGCACUCCAGACACCCAUCACCUUUCUGGAGUUUGCUCAUCUCUGCCUGCCGACAACCCAUCUGGUCCAGAAAGCAAGACUGCCUUUUCUGUGCUCAGCCUGUGCUGGCUGCUCCGGAAGAAGCGACCUUAUUUGACCAGUAGAUCCCAUGUGUAUAAUGCCACUGGAGGUUGAAGCAGGGUCCUCAGAGACCAGAAGGCUCCCUGUCCCCUAGCGCUCCCCUCCUUGAUCAUUGUCACCAUGGCCCCACGGAGGAAUUACCUACCAUGCUUGUUUUUCUUCUGCUCCUCUUCCAGGCCUGGCACACCAGGGAUGCCCAGGAAGGUGUUGUGGGAAUUUCCGUACCACACCAGCAGCUCCUGGUCCGGAGGGAUCAUCUGCAGGGAGAGAAGCAAAAGGAGGGGAAUUAGAGUCAGCCAGCCCUCAGGGCCAUCCGACUGAGCCAGAUGUUUCUAAGGAGUGUGGAUUGUGGGGUGCCCUGUGGCUUCACCCCGCCUGAUAUAUUCCGGAAGCGGCUCUUAUCCCAAGCGCCUGAGGCAGCAUGGAGUCACACGCGGUUCUCUUCCCAGCACAGGGCUCACUGCAGGACUCAGUGCGUGUGACAGGUGCUAAAAAAGAAACCUUGGGAUUGACAAACAUUUACACCUCUGGAAACACCGCACAGCCUUAAACAAAAUGCUUCUCCGUGUCCUAGACCCAUCAUCUAGAAACCCAGGGCAGUCUGGUGGUAGAAGCGCAUGGAUUUUAUACCAACAUUUCGGAGGCAGAGGCAGAGGCAGGCAGAUCUCUGUGAGUUUGAAGUCAGCCUGUCUACAGAGUGAGUUCCAGAACAGUCGGGGAUACACAGAGAAAAAGAAAAGAGAAAAAAAAAAAAACCCAGAGCUCAUGACCAGCCAGACUUUGCUGUUCUCAAGAGAAUGAUGACAGCUACUAACCAAGAGAGCAUAAGGCGACAAUCCAAGGGAGCUGGAAAGCCUGCUCUCUGGACCUCAGCCAAGAUGGGCAAACAGACACAGCCUGUCUCUCUCCAGAGGCCAUGUGGCCCUCCAUAACGCUGACCAUACAUACUGUAGGUCACUGUGUGAGGUGUCCAGGGAAACUCAGACAGCGCUUAACAACUUUGCCUUGGUCCUUAUGGGCUUCUCUUUUAGCAUAUGCACAGGAGACCGUAUGAGGACUGCGGAGAUAGCCCAGUUAGGAAAUAUUUGCCUUGUAAGCCCACGAAGGCCUGUCUGAAAAAGUUAGGCUUGGUGGUGUACACUUGUAAUCCCAGUGCAGCCAUGUGGGAAUGGAUCCCUAGAGUUUGCUGGCCAGCCAGUCUAGCCCAAUUGCCAGGCCCUAAGCCAGCGAGAGAUCUUGUCUCAAGAAACAAGGUAUCUGGGCACAUCGCCUGAGGUUGAUGUCUGGUCCCACAAACUCAUACAUACACACAACACAAGCAUAUACACACAAUACAAGUGUAUACACACACACACACACACCAUACAACGCAA